rnacentral:lncRNA from 1 species
GAACAUUUCUUGAGCAAAUUCAAAGAAAAUAUUGCAUAGACAUCAAAAUAACGAGGAACCAACUUAUUUGAAGAAAUGGAACCCAAACAGGGUGUCUACCAGUCUGGAAAGUCUGGAAAAAGUACGCAUUUUUUAAGGGAGUAUCUAGGACGCCAGCUGGAAAAAGAGCAAGGAUCAACAACUACUACACCAAAAUCUGCAGCUGGAGUACUCGCUGAUCCAUCAAAGGCAGUAUUGGUGUCGAUACUCAAUUCAAAGCUUAUCAACGGGGUAAAAUAUCAUAAGAUUAUCUGGAAGAAGUUGGCUCUCAAUAGUGAAGAGGAACAAAUGCUGCUGUUAUUUGGUGUCAAUCAAUUCUGGUGCCCUUUUAAUUCUUUCUUGAGAAUGAUUUUUCCUCAAAAGGGACUCAUGCUGAUAUCUUGGCAACUAGUUAUGUAUUAAAAAAGUAUGAUGAUGGCACUUUCUCAACUCAUUUAUUGAAUGUAAAUUUUCCAGAUUUGUUGUCUCAAAGCAAAGUCAUCCAUGAAGCAUGAGCUAAAAUUCGCUUUAGCUGUAAUUAAACAGUGGCAUGAGGGUGUAAUUAAAGCUUCUGAAAACAUCGUAAAUGUCUCUCCAAUGAACGCUUAAUUUAAGUACAUGCAUAAACAAUUUUGUUAGUUUAUGAAUUGGUUGGAACUCAAACAAUUUACCGUUCCCCAUUUCGAGUAUAUUUUGUCUAAAUUCUAUUUUAGUCUUUUCCAUAAGAAUAAAGUUCUCUAAAGUAGGUUAAUUUGAAAAUCUGUAGUAGCAUCUUUCAACUGAUAGAGACUUCUUCAAGAGUUGCUGUUUUAAUAGUUGUAAUAUUUUCAUUCUUAUUAGCCUCAACUCAACUUUACAAUUGACAGGGUUUGUUGGGAAAAACUACAACAAUCUAAUGCAGCAUUCAUCUUUUUGCACCAUGCCAAUCAGCAGCCUGAUUAAUGAAAUUUUUUGUUUGUAGGGCCGCCAAAGAUGACAUAGGUUAAAAGGCGGAGCGUGAUUGGUCGGCUAUGUCUUAUCGUUGCUUUGUCGUGCCUUCGUCAGGUGGAAUGAUCAACAUACUGUCGGAAACUUGAGAGGUCCCGUUAGCUUGUCGAGAGGUCAACCCGACAUAGACACGACAAAGCAGCGAUAAGACAUAGCUGACCAAUCACGCUUUGCCAUUUAACCUAUUUCAUCUAUGUCAUCCCGACAAACAAACAUUUUCAACAAUCAGGCUGCUGCUGUGCUUAAAUUUUUUAUCGCUGUAAACUGCAUCUUAUUUGAAAUAGGUCACCUCUAAGCCAGUCAAAUAGGCCAGACCAAAUACUAAACGCAAGAAAGUUCAGAGAUGUUGUUUUUUUUUGCUGUUUUGUCCAGCCCCUGGACCCCUUAAAAACCAGUAGCUUUUCUCAACAAGCCUUAGCAGUUAAUCUCAAACAAAAGAUGAAAGAAAAAACUUCAAUAGUUUGGAACCUAAAGUCAUAAGAUGCUAAACCUAUUUACCACAAUGCUUAUGAGCGGCUGAUAUCACUUGGUUUAAAAUGACUCUGUUAUGAACGAGACUAAUUAUAUUUUUUCAACAACUCUUGUGCUGUAGUAUUAGUAUGUAAUUCUUAUGUUCAUUGAAAAAAAUCUUUUUAUGCUUCAAGCCACGAUGACAACACAUAAUUAUUUUCCCCAAGUUCAUUCCAUAGCAAUGUCACCUACCACUGUCUUUGUUGGAUCAUUCUAUGAGAUGUUGAUGAUGUAUUUUUGAUUUGUUAAAUUUUAUUAUUAAGGUAUCAUAUAAUAUUGUUAAUGUUAAAUUAUAUGUUAAAAAAUUAU